UUUAAUCGCCAACGAGUACAGUCGGUUUAGAUUGCUUUAAAAAUUAUAAAAUUCAAUUUUUCACGUGGGCGUAAUAAACCCACGUGUAUCGGCACUCAAGCUCAAAAAAAAAAAAAAAAAAAAAAAAAAAAAAAAUAAUUAAAUAAAAGGGAAGGAAAAAAGGUCCAAGGUGCCCAGAAAGAAAAGGGAACAUUUUCAGAAUUCGGACACUGACAAAUAUUCACUAAAGGAUCGUUACUGGAGUCGUGGGGUGCCUUUCCUGUGUGUGGUAGUCGUAGGAAGGUGCAGGCUAAAGCGCGGGGCUGCGUUAUUGCGUGCCAAAAAGAAAAAUUACGCAUAACGCGUAGUCCUUAUCGGAGCCAAAGCCAAGGCCCCAAAGCUCCAAAAAGCGACAAUCUACACUGGUAGCAGGGAGCGAAUUUCCUAAGGGCGGACCAAGAUUUCAGCAUCGUCUCAUUUUCUGCAGAUAAGCUUUGAACCCCGCUAACCAAUAGUUCGUGCUGCACGCACAGGCAGACCAACGUGACCACGUGUUCGACCCAUUGAUUCCCGGACAUUCUUGAGCGCAGAUCUGGUGGAUAGCGAACCAGCGCGCACCCUCACUCGGAUUUAUAACAUCUGAUAUAAUUGUUAAACGGCAUACUGGCCGUAGCAUGUAUAUGUCGCUGACUACUAUAUUUCUACGUUACAUAGUUCAAAUUAAGAGCCCACAGCACAUCAUCGUCGUCAACAGGCCUGCUGACAUCGUUGGAUCAUACUAAAGUAGGAGCAAAAGAACCCACGCCCCUUCCCUGAGCACGGUCGGAACCCGUAGACGGAGUACGCUCCCAAUGCACAACACGAGUGUUAGGCAAGACGCGCCCAGCGUAGCCGUCGUGUUCGUUACA